rnacentral:rRNA from 1 species
CCUACGGGCGGCAGCAGUGGGGAAUAUUGCACAAUGGGCGAAAGCCUGAUGCAGCAACGCCGCGUGAGCGAAGAAGGCCUUUGGGUCGUAAAGCUCUGUCCUUGGGGAAGAAAAAAAUGACGGUACCCUUGGAGGAAGCCCCGGCUAACUACGUGCCAGCAGCCGCGGUAAUACGUAGGGGGCGAGCGUUAUCCGGAAUUAUUGGGCGUAAAGAGUGCGUAGGUGGUUUUGUAAGCGCGGGGUGAAAGGCUAUGGCUUAACCAUAGUAAGCCUCGCGAACUGUGAGACUUGAGUGCAGGAGAGGAAAGUGGAAUUCCUAGUGUAGCGGUGAAAUGCGUAGAUAUUAGGAGGAACACCAGUGGCGAAGGCGACUUUCUGGACUGUAACUGACACUGAGGCACGAAAGCGUGGGGAGCAAACAGGAUUAGAUACCCCGGUAGUC